rnacentral:rRNA from 1 species
AGUGAACGCUGGCGGUAGGCCUAACACAUGCCAGUCGAACGGCAGCACAGUAAGAGCUUGCUCUUACGGGUGGCGAGUGGCGGACGGGUGAGGAAUACAUCGGAAUCUACUUUUUCGUGGGGGAUAACGUAGGGAAACUUACGCUAAUACCGCAUACGACCUACGGGUGAAAGCAGGGGAUCUUCGGACCUUGCGCGAUUGAAUGAGCCGAUGUCGGAUUAGCUAGUUGGCGGGGUAAAGGCCCACCAAGGCGACGAUCCGUAGCUGGUCUGAGAGGAUGAUCAGCCACACUGGAACUGAGACACGGUCCAGACUCCUACGGGAGGCAGCAGUGGGGAAUAUUGGACAAUGGGCGCAAGCCUGAUUCAGCCAUACCGCGUGGGUGAAGAAGGCCUUCGGGUUGUAAAGCCCUUUUGUUGGGAAAGAAAAGCAGCAGGUUAAUACCCCGCUGUUCUGACGGUACCCAAAGAAUAAGCACCGGCUAACUUCGUG